rnacentral:rRNA from 1 species
UACGUAGGGUGCAAGCGUUGUCCGGAAUUAUUGGGCGUAAAGAGCUUGUAGGCGGUCUGUCGCGUCUGCUGUGAAAAUCCGGGGCUCAACCCCGGACUUGCAGUGGGUACGGGCAGACUAGAGUGUGGUAGGGGAGACUGGAAUUCCUGGUGUAGCGGUGAAAUGCGUAGAUAUCGAGAGGAACACCUGCGGCGAAGGCGGGUUGCUGGGCUGAUACUGACGCUGAGGCGCGAAAGCCAGGGGAGCGAACGGG